AAAAAAAAAAGUAAAAAACCUUGUUGACAGGCCACAUCACAGCUUCUGAUAGACUGGUGCUUUCCAAGGCUGGAAUUCCAAAGGAAGAUCUUUAGCCCGCGUCAUGCACUCAUUCAUUCGACCAGCGAACACUGUGACCAAUGCAUCAACAAAAUUGCUUGGCCUGUCUCUAUAACUAGAUUUCCUGAUUGCUAUUUGUAAACCCACAGCCAUGUGGACCCCACACAAUGGACUAAUGGACUACAACUAGCCUGAUGCUACACUGGACCCAUCUCCACCAUGGAACGGAGGCUCUGGACCUGGCUUCAUUUCUAGCCCUGUUGAAUCCCCAGUUGCACCUCUUCUAGGACUGGAUUAAGGGACUUGGGACUUUUGAAGCCCAAGGAUGUAAUUCCAUGUAAAUA